rnacentral:lncRNA from 1 species
CCUAUCUCAACUCCUUUUGCCCUUACACUCAUCAUCAAGCAUCCACACAUUCAAAUCAACCAACUCUCACAUUCAUUAAGCAUAAAACAUCAGGUGAAUUCUUGCAAAUGGUCAAUUGGUCCAAAUCAUUUGGUUGUGUAAGGGAAGACUUUUUAUUCAAGUGAGUCAAGAGGUUCAAGAUAUAUGAUAUUUAAGGUGGUUUACUCUCGAAACAAGUAGCCUUGACAUUGCACAUAAUAUAUCUAAGAAAUAGACCAACUCAUGCAUACAAUGCUCAAUCUCCAUUGUUCUACCCUUUUCC